CCUGCCGGCGACCGGCGCACGGGUGAGUAACACGUAUGCAACCUGCCCGUCUCAGGGGGAUAAUCGUCGGAAACGGCGUCUAAUACCCCGUAUGAAGCUGGACGGCAUCGUCUGGUUUUGAAAGAAUAUCGGAGACGGAUGGGCAUGCGGCGCAUUAGCUAGUUGGCGGGGUAACGGCCCACCAAGGCGACGAUGCGUAGGGGUUCUGAGAGGAAGGUCCCCCACAUUGGAACUGAGACACGGUCCAAACUCCUACGGAAGGCAGCAG
rnacentral:rRNA from 1 species